rnacentral:rRNA from 1 species
GAUGAACGCUGGCGGCGUGCCUAAUACAUGCAAGUCGAGCGAACAGACGAGGUGCUUGCUCCUCUGACGUUAGCGGCGGACGGGUGAGUAACACGUGGAUAACCUACCUAUAAGACUGGGAUAACUUCGGGAAACCGGAGCUAAUCCCGGAUAAUAUAUUGAACCGCAUGGUUCAAUAGUUAAAGACGGUUUUGCUGUCACUUAUAGAUGGAUCCGCGCCGCAUUAGCUAGUUGGUAAGGUAACGGCUUACCAAGGCAACGAUGCGUAGCCGACCUGAGAGGGUGAUCGGCCACACUGGAACUGAGACACGGUCCAGACUCCUACGGGAGGCAGCAGUAGGGAAUCUUCCGCAAUGGGCGAAAGCCUGACGGAGCAACGCCGCGUGAGUGAUGAAGGUCUUCGGAUCGUAAAACUCUGUUAUUAGGGAAGAACAAAUGUGUAAGUAACUAUGCACGUCUUGACGGUACCUAAUCAGAAAGCCACGGCUAACUACGUG